CGAGAUCAAAGCGGCACUCUCCACGAACAGCGUUCAACAGUCCCAUGGUGGCGAUCAGCUUAACGACUUCGACAAGCACUAAACAAUCUGAUUCAACCUGUACGUGAGCUUCUCCCAUGCCUUGCUGUAGCAAGACCUCUUGGACUACCAAAAUGUUAUCUUGGAUUUGUCGACCAGUCAUGAAGGCACUCUGUUCCUCGGAGAUCAACUCGGUAACCAAGGUUUCAAGCGAUUAGCCAUCACUUUUGAAAUUAUAUUAUAUAUGAAAUUACACAGGCUGAUGGGACGGUAUUGAUCUAACCUUUGAGCAUGCGAUGUCUUGGGGAUUAGAGUAAUAAGUGUUCUAUUAAAAACUGGGGGCAUCACACCUGAAGUGAAAAAUUCUUGCACAAAGGAUAUGGAUCUGACGACGACUGUUGGAAAACGUUGAUUUACUCCACCUAUCAAGUGCCCGAGAAGUUACCUAAAACUUGCGAGCUAAAGAGGAGUCCGGUAGCUGUUCAAAGGCCCAAGUCUCAGUGACAACCUUUCGGCAGUUUUGAUUUUGAAGCCAAAAAGCUUCAAAAGUGAAAAUUUUGCACUUACUCGGUGGUUUGGGAUCAGUAUUUAGUAACAACGGGCUGUGGUCAGAACCUAGAGCUGGUAAUGCAAAGACUUCGGCAA